rnacentral:misc_RNA from 1 species
CGCUGUAGUGGAGACGGCCGCCGGAGCCGAUCCUUCCGACCGUAGCCGGUCCCUUCGCGAGUCCGACGCCAAAGCCCAGCCGGUGAUCGAGUGCGUGCCAGCUGGUCAGAAGCCGCUGAACGGUUCUCUGCAUGUCGAUUGCUGUAUAGACGCCGCGCAAUGCCGGAUCAGGGCAGGCAACCGGCGCGUUGACCAGCACCAUUGCUCCGUCGCCGGAGAAACUGAUCAGAGUUGCCUCAUGGGAGCUGACGACGCUUUCAAGCGCGUCAUAGUAUUCGCGCAGCACGCCGAGGAUAGUUUCGGGCUCCGUGCGCGCAGAGAAGGCGGUGAAGCCUCGCAUAUCGCAGAAUAUUGCGACCACAUCGACGCGCCGCCCAUCGAGAACGCGAUCGUCACCGGUACGGUCAAUCAGUUCGGCGACCUGUGGAGCAAGAAAGCGCUUGAGCCGGCUUAUGCGUUCGGAACGUUCCUGUGAGAUCGCCA